GACGUAGGGGGCCAGCGUUGUUCGGAAUUACUGGGUGUAAAGGGUUCGUAGGCGGUGCGGCAAGUUGGGAGUGAAAUCUCUGGGCUUAACCCAGAGGCUGCUUCCAAAACUGCUGUGCUUGAGUGUGGGAGAGGCGCGUGGAAUUGCAGGUGUAGCGGUGAAAUUCGUAGAUAUUCGCAAGAACACCAGUGGCGAAGGCGGCUCACUGGCCCGAUACUGACGCUGAGGCACGAAAGCGUGGGGAGCAAACAGG
rnacentral:rRNA from 1 species